AUCACCGCUCCACCGCGGCAGCCGCCGCACUCGAGGAUCAACCGAGACCCUCCUGGCCUCCUGUCUUCGACGGCAUCUUCGUCCCGUCCCUCGGCAUUGAAGAUUUGGCAAGCGGUGGUGGAAGGAUCUAAUAGAGACUUGCAUGGCUGCAUCUCUCCUCAAGCACGAGCAUCCCUGAGGUUGUAGCAACAAUUUCUAUGUCGUUUUCGUCAAUAACCAGACGCUAUUCCCCUUAUCUACAAGUUUCAGGUGUUUUUGGCAGAUGAGAUUGGCAGCUUUAAGAAGAUGCGUCAUGUAUUUUGAAAUCCAGAGAAAGAUAAUAAGCAAAUCAAUUUUUAAAGAUGAUUUUGUCAACACAUCACGCCAUGAUUCAAAGGAUAAAGCUGCAGCGUGCAAAUGGGUACUCAAAGAAGUGCGUCAGAUCUUGAAAAGUUAAACAGUAGUUGACAGCAGUAUGCCAGUA